rnacentral:lncRNA from 1 species
AUAUAUAUAUAAAUAAAGGCAACAGUAGUAUACCGCUGUUCAAAACUCAUAAAUCCAUGGACAAAAAACAAAAACGGGGUAACAAACUAAAACCGAGGGAAACGCAUUAAAUAUAAGAGAACAACGACAUAACACUAAAAUGUAACACACAUAGACAAAAUCCCACGAGAAUAACAAAUAUAACAUAUAUAUAUAACAUCAAAACCAAAUACAUGAAUUUGGGAUAGACAAGUACCGUGACACGUCUUAUCGCAAUGUGAAUUUACACUAAAAAAUAAGAGAAAACAAACGACACAACGUUAUAAUGUAAUACACACAGAAACGAACUAUAAUAUAACAAUGGCCAUAUUCCUGACUUGGUACAGG